rnacentral:rRNA from 1 species
UGGGGAAUAUUGCGCAAUGGGCGGAAGCCUGACGCAGCGACGCCGCGUGGGGGAUGACGGCCUUCGGGUUGUAAACCUCUUUCAGCAGGGACGAAGCGGAAGUGACGGUACCUGCAGAAGAAGCACCGGCCAACUACGUGCCAGCAGCCGCGGUAAUACGUAGGGUGCAAGCGUUGUCCGGAAUUAUUGGGCGUAAAGAGCUUGUAGGCGGUUUGUCGCGUCUGCCGUGAAAAUCCGGGGCUCAACCCCGGACUUGCGGUGGGUACGGGCAGACUAGAGUGUGGUAGGGGAGACUGGAAUUCCUGGUGUAGCGGUGAAAUGCGCAGAUAUCAGGAGGAACACCGAUGGCGAAGGCAGGUCUCUGGGCCACUACUGACGCUGAGAAGCGAAAGCGUGGGGAGCGAA